rnacentral:rRNA from 1 species
AUUGGAGGAAAGCAGGGGAUCGCAAGACCUUGCGCUUUUGGAGCGGCCGAUGUCUGAUUAGCUAGUUGGUGAGGUAAAGGCUUACCAAGGCUUCGAUCAGUAGCUGGUCUGAGAGGACGACCAGCCACACUGGGACUGAGACACGGCCCAGACUCCUACGGGAGGCAGUAGUGGGGAAUUUUGGACAAUGGGGGAAACCCUGAUCCAGCCAUGCCGCGUGAGUGAAGAAGGCCUUCGGGUUGUAAAGCUCUUUCAGCCGGAACGAAAAGGUUACGGUUAAUACCCGUGACUAAUGACGGUACCGGAAGAAGAAGCACCGGCUAACUACGUGCCAGCAGCCGCGGUAAUACGUAGGGUGCGAGCGUUAAUCGGAAUUACUGGGCGUAAAGCGUGCGCAGGCGGUUUUGUAAGUCAGAUGUGAAAUCCCCGGGCUCAACCUGGGAACUGCGUUUGAAACUACA